AUUGAACGCUGGCGGAAUGCUUUACACAUGCAAGUCGAACGGCAGCACGGACUUCGGUCUGGUGGCGAGUGGCGAACGGGUGAGUAAUGUAUCGGAACGUGCCCAGUCGUGGGGGAUAACGUAGUGAAAAUUACGCUAAUACCGCAUACGAUCUAUGGAUGAAAGCGGGGGAUCGCAAGACCUCGCGUGAUUGGAGCGGCCGAUAUCAGAUUAGGUAGUUGGUGGGGUAAAGGCCCACCAAGCCAACGAUCUGUAGCUGGUCUGAGAGGACGACAAGCCACACUGGAAGUGUGGAACGGUCCAGACUCCUACGGGAGUCAGCAGUGGGGAAUUUUGGACAAUGGGCGAAAGCCUGAUCCAGCCAUUCCGCGUGCAGGAUGAAGGCCCUCGGGUUGUAAACUGCUUUUGUACAGAACGAAAAGGUUUCUACUAAUACUAGGAGCUCAUGACGGUACUGUAAGAAUAAGCACCGGCUAACUACGUGCCAGCCGCCGCCGUAA
rnacentral:rRNA from 1 species